AUGACAGAACAGAGGAAAGAGGAGGUGGAGGACACUGCCAGCAGACACCUUGUGGUGCAGAUGAGGACCAGAGGAAGUAAAAGUAGUUUUGCAGAGUUUGUUUCACAGUCAGAGAGUGGUGUCUCUCUACAGUCAGAGGUUUUUGUACAGCGGCUCAAUGAGUUUGUAUCACUGUGGUACACGUUCGGUGGAGGAACCAGACUGGAUGUUGGAAGUGACAGGCCCCCCAGCCUGACGGUGCUGCCCCCCUCCAGAGAGGAGCUGCAGCAGGGGAAGGCCACGCUCAUGUGCCUGGCCAACAAGGGCUUCCCCUCAGGCUGGAGUCUGAGCUGGAAGGUGGAGGACAGCAGCAGCAGCAGCAGCUGGGAGGAGAGCAGGAGCCCCGGGGUGCUGCAGAAGGACGGCCUCUACAGCUGGAGCAGCACCCUGAGGCUCCCUGCAGACCAGUGGAGGAAGGUGGGCUCUGUGACCUGUGAGGCCACCCAGGGCUCCCAGACUCCCCUCAGAGAGACACUGAGGAGAGACCAGUGUUCCCAGUCCUGACCGGACUCACUGGGACUCUCACACUGCUUUGACUCUCACACUCAUCUCACCUCUGUCAUUCACUCUCUUUCACUU